CCCCUUCCCAUCCGCCCCGGCCCCGCCUAUAUAGAAGGCGUCGGGCAACCGACUAUGGCGAUAAACGCUGCGUGGAAUAGACGUUACGGACCCGGGGGCGGUACCCGGCGCCUCCACCAAUCUUCCCUGUCGAUUGCAGGGCCGUUGGGGGCGAAAUAGGAUCGACGUGCGUAGUAAAGACCCAGUUUUCGCUCGGUAUGGUUCCGCCGUUAUCGGGCUAAACUCAGAAGUGCCAACGACAAUCGUGUUGCACUCGCUGCCUAACUAGGCAAGCGCGGUUCGGGGGGCACCGGGCAACAGAAGCCCCCCACU
rnacentral:tmRNA from 1 species